rnacentral:rRNA from 1 species
UACGUAGGGGGCAAGCGUUGUCCGGAAUCAUUGGGCGUAAAGCGCGCGUAGGCGGCCCGGUAAGUCCGCUCUGAAAGUCCAAGGCUCAACCUUGGGAUGCGGGUGGAUACUGCCGGGCUAGAGUCCGGAAGAGGCGAGUGGAAUUCCUGGUGUAGCGGUGGAAUGCGCAGAUAUCAGGAGGAACACCGAUGGCGAAGGCAGGUCUCUGGGCCACUACUGACGCUGAGAAGCGAAAGCAUGGGGAGCGAACAGG